GGUGAUUUCCUUUUUUAUACAGAGGAUAGAGGCAAUUGUAGAAAACUACCCAGAAGGGCAUAAAGCAGCUGCUGUGCUUCCAAUCCUGGAUUUAGCUCAAAGGCAGCAUGGGUCGUUGCCCAUCUCUGCAAUGAAUAAGGAAUAAAGGUUGGGGAGACUACACCUGACAAACUUUUCACUCUUAUAGAGGUGGAAUAUCUAGGGGCCUGUGUAAAUGCACCCAUGGUUCAAAUAAAUGACAACUAUUAUGAGGAUCUGACGCCUAAGGAUAUUGAUGAUAUUAUUGAUGAGCUUAAGGCUGGCAAAAUUCCAAAACCUGGGCCAAGGAGUGGGCGCUUCUCCUGUGAGCCAGCUGGAGGUCUUACCUCUUUGACUGAACCAUCCAAAGGACCUGGCUUUGUUGUGCAAGCAGACCUUUAACUUUCAUUUACCUGUAAAUAUGUCUCUAGAGAAAUAAAAUAUGAACUUCCUAUCUA